AUUUAUUGCCGAUGCAAACUUUGUUAUAAGAGGUGGCUGCUUGAGCACUACGAGCGUGUGCUUAAAACUCAAAGAAUUUGGCGGCUCGUUAACUACCUAGGGGAAUAUGUGCCUUAAUCCGAUGAUACCCGUUACAUCUUACUGUACCUUGAAAGAGAACAGUUGGUGUAUUGCCGUUGUCAGCUUGUUGUUGAGCAGAAUGUAACAGGCUUAUUGGAACUACCAAAUGAUUGGUAUAAUCCGAGAAUUCAGGUCGAAAUGCUGCCUAUGGUACAAGGGAGCAGGUGUUACAGUUUUGAACUUAAAAAACGGAUCUUAUUUUUUUGGAAUCAUUAAGUGAAGGGGGACUUAGGAGUAAGGGGGGAUUAAUAUGCCCCCCUGAAC
rnacentral:rRNA from 1 species